AUGAAGAUCAGGUUAUGAAGAUCAGGUUAUGAAGAUCAGGUUAUGAUGAUCAGGUUAUGAUGAUCAGGUUAUGAAGAUCAGGUUAUGAAGAUCAGGUUAUGAAGAUCAGGUUAUGAAGAUCAGGUUAUGAAGAUCAGGUUAUGAUGAUCAGGUUAUGAUGAUGAGGUUAUGAAGAUCAGGUUAUGAUGAUCAGGUUAUGAAGAUCAGGUUAUGAUGAUCAGGUUAUGAUGAUCAGGUUAUGAAGAUCAGGUUAUGAUGAUCAGGUUAUGAUGAUCAGGUUAUGAUGAUCAGGUUAUGAUGAUCUAUCGGCGCAGUGAUGGAGUGUUUGGGGUUUCAGCUGCACAACAGCUUCACUGGAUAUUUCAAUUUCACAAUUUUCUAAACAUUUUUUAAACCACAGCAAAUAAACUGAUAAUGUGAGACAUGUUGAAGGUGUCUG